AUCUUCGGUAGUGUCGAGGAGACCUGAAUCUACUCUGCUGCCUUUGAAAUAUAACCAAAAGCUCAUGUAUUAUCAAAAAUAAAAUCAUUCUUUCUCAUUCUUUAGGAGUGGUUUGUGUCACUAUUGAAGUACUUCAGGAUGACAGAAGAGACUUUCAUUUGUGCCAGCUGAAAUAACUGACGUCUUCACUUCUAAGAGAAACCAUCACAAACAAGAAAGCUGUGUAACAGGGGAGCCAUAUCCCAAGCUUAUUGAAAGAGAAAAGAAACUUAGAGAAUUUGUGAACAAUCAUUUUUAAAGCAGCUCCUUGAAUAGCACAUCACCAGAGGGCCCACUCACUUCAUCGUAUCCAGUCAGCCUUGGGAUGAAGGAGGAUGGCAGUGUCAUGAUGAGAACACUGUGUCCUUUCAAGAUGAAGCCUUCAACACUGAACCUUAAAGCCAAGCCAUCCAGCUUCUCCCAGCUCCUUGUGGUUGCCUAUGGCUCCACAGAACUGCCACAUCAAGUAAUGAACCUCAAGGUGAACCAAACUGGGAUUCCACACACAUCACACCAGCCCUCCUUUGGGAAAUGCAGUCCUGUCUCAGGAGUCUCAGGCAUCUUGUGUUCAUCCUGCAUCGCCUCGUUGAAGAAGUAAAACUACCUGCUGCUGAGAACUCUAAAAGGAGCUGCAAACGUCGAGGCUCAGAGGAACCAGGAAUCCUGGACUGCCAUCCAUAGAGCCCGCUGACCUGCAGCAGGUGGAUGUGUGAAGCUGUGCCAUGGAAGGCCCAGAUGAGCGUGUGGGUCACUUGCUGCAAGCUGCCAGGUAACACAGCUCACAACACAAGAACAGGCUGGGAGCCCUGGGGCACUGAAUGUCCAUUAUUGGCAUACAGGUAAAGUGUUCUCUGUCAGUGCUGAAAUACUGCUUCAUAUGCUUAACAUGUUCUGAACUGUUUGUUUAAAUGAAAGAGUGUUUUUCAAGGUAAGGAAGAACGAGACCCUUAUGCAUUCUUUGCCUGUAAAUAUAUAUAUGUAUAUAAUGGUUUGAAAAAAAUAGCCCUGGUCAUUCACACAAACGGAGUAACUGAAACAGCAUUAACAGCUAUUGUUGUAUAGAGUAUUGCUAGCUCAGUGAUGAGAAGGCCCUGUUUAGAGAGGCUGAAGGAUGCAGGAGGAAGCAAUUGGAAUUCCUCAAGACAAUCUCCCUCUCACAGCACACACCCCAUCCAAAAUCUCCUCCUUAACGGCUGCCCGGCUGACUUUAAACUGCCAACACCGACAAAAAGGGGAUGUUGCAUCUUUUAUAAACAGCCUUUUGUUUGCCGUUCUGACACCUGCGAAAAGCAAAAUUGUUAUUUUCUUGCUGCUUGUUGCUAGUUUGAUGCCCGCUCUGGGGCCCUACAUCAGAGACACUGUUCAAAACAGGUUGCAGGGGUCCGUUUCCGUGCUGUCUGCCGAUGGUGCUGCCUGAAGGAAAACCAUGGAAACGGAGUUUGACAGGCUCACAGGGACCCACGGCUGCCAGAGCCGCUGCCUUUGAGCGCCUGAUGAAGACAUCACAGAGCAAACACAACAUUAAAACGCUGCUGGCUGCUUUGCAUCACUUAGAAUGCAAAUCUCUUUGUUCUGCUCGGCCUUUGCGUUUUGUAGCCGAGGAAUCUGUGCUAUCAUCUAACAUGGAUUUGCUGACCUUUCUUCCCUCCCUGUCCACUCUUCUAAUACAUAUAUAUAUUAAACAUAUUCUAAAAGAUCA